rnacentral:rRNA from 1 species
GAUGAACGCUGACAGAAUGCUUAACACAUGCAAGUCUACUUGAACUUCGGUUUGGGUGGCGGACGGGUGAGUAACGCGUAAAGAACUUGCCUCACAGAUAGGGACAACAUUUGGAAACGAAAGCUAAUACCUGAUAUUAUGAUACUAGGGCAUCCUAGAAUUAUGAAAGCUAUAUGCACUGUGAGAGAGCUUUGCGUCCCAUUAGCUAGUUGGAGAGGUAACGGCUCACCAAGGCGAUGAUGGGUAGCCGGCCUGAGAGGGUGAUCGGCCACAAGGGGACUGAGACACGGCCCUUACUCCUACGGGAGGCAGCAGUGGGGAAUAUUGGACAAUGGACCAAGAGUCUGAUCCAGCAAUUCUGUGUGCACGAUGAAGUUUUUCGGAAUGUAAAGUGCUUUCAGUUGGGAAGAAAAAAAUGACGGUACCAACAGAAGAAGUGACGGCUAAAUACGUG